UACAGAGUAAAAUAAUCUUUAGUUUCAAAAAAGUAAAGCAGGUGUUCCUAUAGAAGAAUAGCUGCUGGGCUUUAUUUUGCAUGUUUUCAAAAGGCUGAAAGCUAUUUCUCUCAGGGAAGAAGGACCUUAUGACUGAGUUAAUCUUCAACCAUAAAAAUAACACUCUUCUUCAGUAAAAGUUUGGAUCCUUUUUGCAUGCCUAGAAUGAAUGCUCGCACUUCACAGUUGACCUCCAAAAAAGUAAAUGAAGAUUCUUCCUCAAGGUCUUUGAACAGCCGGUAGCUCUGUCUCUUUACCAUGCAGUGACUUGGGAAGCUCAAGAGCAAGGAAACUGAAGAAGCCCCAUUUCCUCAGAUUUUUGGACGGCUGAGAAGCCCACCUUCUGGGCGUCCUGGAAAAACCAUCACGUGAGCAUCUGUUUUGGAACCCGGAGCUGGGUUCUUGUGGGAUAAUUCAUAUGACAACACAGACUAAUCACAAGGGCCUUGUCAUUUAAACGCUCCAAUUACUUUUUUUCUGCAGCAGCUUCUGCUCUUCUCCGCAUCCCACAAUGCAUUCCAGGGCUACUAUGUUAAUUGGAAGUAUAUUCCUGUGCAUGAAGUGGACUUUAAUUAGCACCUGAGGGCACAUUCAGGUGUCCUGACUCACGUGGAGUGGAGGCGGAGCGGCGUGGCCCCACGGCAGCCUGUGGCUCAUGAGCAAAGGUGCUUCCUGGCCCUGAGCAGGUCUGGCUGCGAAGCUCCGAGCCACCCCGGGGGACAGGAGGCUCCGCCGACUCUCCGGCAUGCAGCGCCGUGGCCCGGGGCCCUGUAAAACAACAGCUGCACUAACGCUUCCAAUUAUUUUGCUCGACUAAUAAGUAAUAUGAGUGGCUCCAGAUUUUAAGUCUGUGAGCAAUGUAGGAACACUGUAAAAACCGGGAUUGCAGGCAGUCUUGUAAUAGAUUAAUAACCUUGACUCUUACGUGAGUCAUCUGUAAAAUGGGCCCUGAGUUAUGAAGACACACACCAACCGUGGGGGGUAUUGUGGAAAAUUAAUGUGACAUAAUACUGCCUCAGUGACAAUAAAAGUGCUGCAGCUGGAAGUGAUGGGGAAAGUGGGCGGGGCAUAACUCCACCUAUUAAUGUAAUUACAUCCACGCAGCUGGUUUCCAAAAGCAGGGUGCAAAUUGGUUUCAGCCCGGUAUCAGCACCUCCUGCCAGCCACGCAGCGAGACAGCCAUGAGCAGACAUCCCGGCUCCUGCUCCAUGGGAUGAAGCUGGCAGCCAGGGUGCAAGGAAACAAAAGGCUCUGAUUAAAACAAAAAGCCUAGUCGGCAGGUUCUGUGAUCAGUACAUAGUAAGUCUUUUUUUUUUUUUUUUUUUUCCUUAAUGCUAUUAAUUGCCUUUCAAAGCCCUUACAAAAUGUGCUUCCCUAAUGAUAGAAAACAUCCCCCCAAGCAUCAGUUCUCUGGCUCUUUCCUUGUUCUAAACCCACAUGCACUCAAAACCCUCACCUGGAGGACUGUGGGUGCACAUGUCACUGAAUAUGGCUUCUUUGGUGUUUACUACAGAAUGAUGUGUGUCACUGUCCCUUCCAUGGACACCAUAUGGUGAUCCCAGCAGGAGGGACCAGGGCCAAGUUAUAAAUCACCUGGGCAGCGUCCCAGUUGUGCUAUCUCUCAGAGGCAUGUCCUGCCCAUAGUGAUGAUUUGGGAUUAAAAUGUCAGCAAGCACUUCAUGAAAGUUGUUAUCUAUUAAUUAUUUCAUAACUCCAUAGAGUAUUUAUGAAAAUAUGCUGUAAAGAGUUAUUCAGACUUGAGAAUUGUUAUCUUAAUUAUGCUUGGACUGGAAAAAUAAUUACAGUGCACUGAGGUUAGGGAUCUCUUCUGAAUGAGCUCAGUGGUACUAAAAUAUUUUUAAAUGCUUUAAAGUGAGGAGAGAGACGAAGUUAUUUAAACACAAGGUCCCGGCUAAAACUAUUCUAUGCAACAUGUGCAUCACAAAUGUAAUAUAGAAAUAUAUGUAAACUAAAAGGUGACACAUUUUAACACACUUCUUUUUCCCGUAUUAUCAAAACGUUGUGCAGAAUUUUAUCAACACCAAAUCUAUUUUAUAUUGUUAAAAGACAGUAAGAUGUUUUAAAAUAUAGCAUUGUUAGCUUUAAAUGUAAAACCUGGUAUAAGUCCUAUAAUGCGAAAAGACUGCGUAUCUGCCAAUGAAGAGAAAACCAAUCCUUAAAUAUUCUUCUACAUUUUGCAAAUUAUACACUAGAUAUAUUUUGUAAAUGAAAUAACUGUCCCGCGUACAUCCUGCUGGGAGAGGAAUUGCCAUCUACGAUAGAUUUCUUCUGGCCAAAUAACCCUUAGCAUGGA